AAAUGCGAUACGUAGUGUGAAUUGCAGAAUUCAGUGAAUCAUCGAAUCUUUGAACGCACAUUGCGCCCUUUGGUAUUCCAAAGGGCAUGCCUGUUCGAGCGUCAUUUGUACCCUCAAGCUUUGCUUGGUGUUGGGCGUUUUUGUCUUUGGCCCGCCAAAGACUCGCCUUAAAAUGAUUGGCAGCCGGCCUACUGGUUUCGCAGCGCAGCACAUUUUUGCGCUUGCAAUCAGCAAAAGAGGACGGCUAUCCAUCAAGACUCCUUCUCACGUUUGACCUCGGAUCAGGUAGGGAUACCCGCUGAACUUAAGC
rnacentral:misc_RNA from 1 species